AUUGAACGCUGGCGGCAGGCCUAACACAUGCAAGUCGAGCGGUAGCACAGGAGAGCUUGCUCUCUGGGUGACGAGCGGCGGACGGGUGAGUAAUGUCUGGGAGACUGCCUGAUGGAGGGGGAUAACUACUGGAAACGGUAGCUAAUACCGCAUAAUGUCGCAAGACCAAGGAGGGGGACCUUCGGGCCUCUUGCCAUCAGAUGUGCCCAGAUGGGAUUAGCUAGUAGGUGGGGUAACGGCUCACCUAGGCGACGAUCCCUAGCUGGUCUGAGAGGAUGACCAGCCACACUGGAACUGAGACACGGUCCAGACUCCUACGGGAGGCAGCAGUGGGGAAUAUUGCACAAUGGGCGCAAGCCUGAUGCAGCCAUGCCGCGUGUAUGAAGAAGGCCUUCGGGUUGUAAAGUACUUUCAGCGAGGAGGAAGGCAUUGUGGUUAAUAACCACAGUGAUUGACGUUACUCGCAGAAGAAGCACCGGCUAACUCCGUGCCAGCCGCCGCAGUAA
rnacentral:rRNA from 1 species